AUGGCAAGCACUGCCCAAGUCAACUCGUUGUUGUCCGUCGCCGCGGAACUUGAGCCGAAGGAGUUCGUCGCCUCCUUCCCUUCGAGCAUGGGUCUAUUAGGCAAGUCCAUCAUCAUUGAUCUGCCUUGCUUCCACCGCACCACCUCCAUCAUGUUGGACCAUAUAUUCAUUCGCUCUGUGCCAGUCGGCGUCGAGUUCCCUAUGCUCGAGAUGUUGUCCCUAUUACACUGUAAUGGCAACCUCGAUGCCUUGCUCUCAUGUUGCCCACGGUUGUGCACCCUCCUCCUCAGCGGCAUUUUAUUCGAGACGUGUGAUCUAAGGGUGAAUUCGCCGUCACUCCAGGAUCUUGUUGUGAGGCCCUUCUCGACAGAACGGGUCAACAUUAUAGCCCCCAUGCUUAAGAAACUGGAGAUUCUCUUUACCGUGAUGUUGGACGUCAACAUUUCGGUCUUUGCACCAAUUAUGGAGAAAGCUGGUGGUACUGCUACUACAUAG
rnacentral:rRNA from 1 species